rnacentral:rRNA from 1 species
AAGUUUGAUCAUGGCUCAGAACGAACGCUGGCGGCAUGCCUAACACAUGCAAGUCGAACGGGAUCCUGGCUUCGGUCAGGUGAGAGUGGCGGACGGGUGAGUAACGCGUGGGAACCUGCCCAGUGGUGGGGGGAUAACUGCGGGAAACUGCAGCUAAUACCGCAUGAGCCCGAGAGGGGAAAGAUUUAUCGCCAUUGGAGGGGCCCGCGUUCGAUUAGGUAGUUGGUGAGGUAACGGCUCACCAAGCCGACGAUCGAUAGCUGGUCUGAGAGGAUGAUCAGCCACACUGGGACUGAGAUACGGCCCAGACUCCUACGGGAGGCAGCAGUGGGGAAUAUUGGACAAUGGGGGCAACCCUGAUCCAGCAAUGCCGCGUGAGUGAUGAAGGCCUUCGGGUUGUAAAGCUCUUUUGCCGGGGACGAUGAUGACGGUACCCGGAGAAUAAGCCCCGGCUAACUUCGUG